rnacentral:lncRNA from 1 species
CCAUAGGAAUGAAAUAAGAACAAAACACAGGAGCUGUGCAAUCUUUAGAAACCGAGAAAAACAGAAGUAUAAAGAUUAAUAUUAAAACAAAAAAAAGGUUGAGAUGGAAGGGUUGAAGUACUUCAGGUUUGUAAGGAUACAUUAUAAAUAAUUAUGAAUACAUUUAUAGUGUGCUUCACACUCCAGUCAAGAUUGUGAUGUCAGUGAUUUGGUUUGAUAAUCAAACCGACAGGAAGCAGAACAAUCAGGAAAUUUUUCUGCUUCUGUUUUUUUUGUUUGUUUCUGCUUCUUCACACACGCUACACAGUCAACAUGCCAUCGUUUACACAAGCUUGUAAAAUAUGUGGACUGAUCCUGACGCUAAUCGUAGCACUGAAGAUGUUUAGAUUUGGAAGUUUUGCUAUUGCACAUGAGAGUUGCUGGUGUUCUCUUUCUUGUGAUGAAGCUGAAGCUGAGCUAAAGAAACAUACGGAUGUAGAAGUUCAUGUUGAACAUCAAUCAAUAGAAAUUUAUAAUGAAAUACAUGAAGUCUCCAGUUUAUUUAACAAAGAAGGACGCUGUUCUGUGGUCAUGGAGAAAUGCUUAAAAAACUACGAAGAGGUCGAAUUAAGAAUGUUUCCUGAUAAUAAAAACCAACCAAUCUAUGAAAAAAUGGAUUUAAAGCCUGGUAAGCAAAUAUUUGAUUUAAGCAAAGUUUAAAAGAAUUAGUUCACUCAUUGUGACGCAGAAAAGGAGAAGCAGAACGUGCUUAAGCUUUUCAGUUAAAGAGAAUAAUGUUUUAAAAAUGUACAAAUCAACAGACAGCGUAUCAUGAAAGUAAUCCACGCAACAGCU